rnacentral:misc_RNA from 1 species
GAUGAAGAACGCAGCGAACUGCGAUAAGUAAUGUGAAUUGCAGAAUUCAGUGAAUCAUCGAGUCUUUGAACGCACAUUGCGCCCCCUGGUAUUCCGGGGGGCAUGCCUGUCCGAGCGUCAUUGCUGCCCUCAAGCACGGCUUGUGUGUUGGGCCCCGUCCUCCGAUCCCGGGGGACGGGCCCGAAAGGCAGCGGCGGCACCGCGUCCGGUCCUCGAGCGUAUGGGGCUUUGUCACCCGCUCUGUAGGCCCGGCCGGCGCUUGCCGAUCAACCCAAAUUUUUUAUCCAGGUUGACCUCGGAUCAGGUAGGGAUACCCGCUGAACUUAAGCAUAUCAAUAAGCGGAGGA